AACGAACGCUGGCGGCAGGCUUAACACAUGCAAGUCGAACGCCCCGCAAGGGGAGUGGCAGACGGGUGAGUAACGCGUGGGAACGUGCCCUUCGCUUCGGAAUAGCCCCGGGAAACUGGGAGUAAUACCGAAUACGCCGUAUUGGGAAAGAUUUAUCGGCGAAGGAUCGGCCCGCGUUAGAUUAGCUAGUUGGCGGUGUAAUGGACCACCAAGGCUACGAUCUAUAGCUGGUCUGAGAGGAUGAUCAGCCACACUGGGACUGAGACACGGCCCAGACUCCUACGGGAGGCAGCAGUGGGGAAUCUUGGACAAUGGGCGCAAGCCUGAUCCAGCCAUGCCGCGUGAGUGAAGAAGGCCUUAGGGUUGUAAAACUCUUUCGCCGGAGAAGAUAAUGACGGUAUCCGGAGAAGAAGCCCCGGCUAACUUCGUGCCAGCAGCCGCAGUAAAAC
rnacentral:rRNA from 1 species